GACGAACGCUGGCGGCGUGCCUAAUACAUGCAAGUCGAGCGCAGGAAACUGACGGAACUCUUCGGAGGGAAGGCAGCGGAAUGAGCGGCGGACGGGUGAGUAACACGUAAGGAACCUGCCUCAAGGAUUGGGAUAACUCCGAGAAAUCGGAGCUAAUACCGGAUAGUUCAACGGACCGCAUGGUCCGCUGAUGACAGGCGCUUCGGCGUCACCUGGAGAUGGCCUUGCGGUGCAUUAGCUAGUUGGUGGGGUAACGGCCCACCAAGGCGACGCUGCAUAGCCGACCUGAGUGGGUGAUCGCACACACAGGGACUGGGACACGGCCCAGACCCCAACCGGGGGCAGCAGUAGGGAAGCUGCCACAAUGGGCGAAAGUCUGAUGGAGCAACGCCGCGUGAGUGAUGAAGGUUUUCGGAUCGUAAAACUCUGUUGUAUGGGUAGAACACGUACGAGAGGAAAUGGUCGUACCGUGACGGUACCUUACGAGAAAGCCACGGCUAACUACGUGCCAGCCGCCGCCGUAAAAC
rnacentral:rRNA from 1 species